UACGGAGGGUGCUAGCGUUGUUCGGAAUCACUGGGCGUAAAGGGCGGGUAGGCGGCCUGCUAAGUCUGAUGUGAAAUCCCCUCGCUCAACGAGGGAACUGCGUCGGAUACUGGCAGACUCGAGUACCGGAGAGGAAGGUGGAAUUCCCGGUGUAGCGGUGAAAUGCGUAGAUAUCAGGAGGAACACCGGCGGUGUAGGCGGCUUACUGGACCAUAACUGACGCUGAGGCACGAAAGUGUGGGGAGCAAACAGG
rnacentral:rRNA from 1 species